CUACGGGAUGCACCAGUGGGGAAUAUUGCACAAUGGACGAAAGUCUGAUGCAGCAACGCCGCGUGGAGGGUGACACAUUUCGGUGCGUAAACUCCUUUUAUAUAGGAAGAUAAUGACGGUACUAUAUGAAUAAGCGCCGGCUAACUCCGUGCCAGCAGCCGCGGUAAUACGGAGGGCGCAAGCGUUACUCGGAAUCACUGGGCGUAAAGAGCGUGUAGGCGGAUAGAUAAGUCAGGAGUGAAAUCCUAUGGCUCAACCAUAGAACUGCUCUUGAAACUGUCUAUCUAGAAUAUGGGAGAGGUAGAUGGAAUUUCUGGUGUAGGGGUAAAAUCCGUAGAGAUCAGAAGGAAUACCGAUUGCGAAGGCGAUCUACUGGAACAUUAUUGACGCUGAGACGCGAAAGCGUGGGGAGCAAACAGGAUUAGAUACCCGGGUAGUC
rnacentral:rRNA from 1 species